UCAAGCGAACAAGAGCGCAAGGGGAAUGCCUUGGCAUCAGGAGCCGAUGAAGGACGUGAUAAGCUGCGAAAAGCUUCGGGGAGCUGCAAAUAAGCAUUGAUCCGGAGAUGUCCGAAUGGGGAAACCCACCUGAGUAAACCUCAGGUAACGCAUGGUGAAUCAAAUAGCCAUGCGUGGGGAACCGCCUGAACUGAAACAUCUAAGUAGGGCGAGGAAAAGUAAUCAACCGAGAUUCCGAAAGUAGUGGCGAGCGAAAUCGGAAGAGGCCAAACCGUACGUAGCAAUAUGUGCGGGGUUGUGGACGGCGAUAUCGGUAAGCUUCGUUAGACGAAUGGUCUGGGAAGGCCAGUCAAAGAGUGUGAGAGCCACGUAGUCGAAAAUGAAGUGAACGUAGCCGGAUCCAGAGUACCGCGGGGCACGAGGAAUCCCGUGGGAAGCCGGGGGGACCACCCUCCAAGCCAAAAUACUACCUGAUGACCGAUAGAGGAGCAGUACCGUGAGGGAAAGGUGAAAAGCACCCCGGGAGGGGAGUGAAAUAGUACCUGAAACCUUGUGCUUACAAGCAGACAUAGCCCGUUAAAGGGUGGUGUCGUACUUUUUGUAGAACGGUCCGGCGAGUUAUAGUAACUGGCGAGCUUAAGGUAUUCAGUACCGGAGGCGAAGGGAAACCGAGUGUGAAGAGCGCGUGAAGUCAGUUGCCAUAGACCCGAAACCAGGUGACCUAGCCAUGUCCAGGAUGAAGUGGAGGUAAAGCUCCAUGGAGGUCCGAACCCACGUACGUUGCAAUGUCCGGGGAUGAGGUGUGGCUAGCGGUGAAAUUCCAAACGAACUUGGAGAUAGCUGGUUCUCCCCGAAAUAGCUUUAGGGCUAGCGUAGGUAAUGAGUUUCACGGAGGUAAAGCACUGUCUGAGCUAGGGGGCGAUAAGCUUACUGAACUCUAACAAACUAAGAAUGCCGUAGAAAUGCUUACCUGCAGUCAGACUGCGAGUAAUAAAAUCCGUGGUCAAAAGGGAAACAGCCCAGACCCACAGCUAAGGUCCCAAAUAUACGCUAAGUGGAAAACGAUGUGAGAUUGCAUAAACAACCAGGAUGUUGGCUUAGAGGCAGCCACUCGUUCAAAGAGUGCGUAAUAGCUCACUGGUCGAGUGAUCUUGCGCGGAAAAUUUAACGGGGCUAAGCGUAUAACCGAAGCUUGGGAAUGUCGAAAGACAUUGGUAGGGGAGCGUCGUGUAUGGGGUGAAGUCGCAUCGGAAGGAGCGGUGGACUGUACACGAGUGAGAAUGCCGGAAUGAGUAGCGAGAAUUAUGUGGGAAUCAUAAUGGCCGAAAAUCUAAGGUUUCUUGGGGAAGGUUCGUCCGCCCAAGGUAAGCCGGGAGCUAAGGCGAGGCCGCAAGGCGUAGUCGAUGCACAUACGGUAGAAAUUCCGUAGCCACCGAACCUUAAACCGGAAGGACACUUUCAGAUAGCAGAACCCAGCCGUUGGUAGAGCUGGGCGAAAGGGACUGAAAUAUAGUAGGGAAGUCUGCGAUGCUGAGAGGCGAGAAAAGCUCCGGUGUAUGCUAAGGUGCCCGUACCGCAAACCGACACAGGUAGAUGAGGAGAGAAUCCUAAGGCCAACGGGAGAAGGGUUGUUAAGGAACUCGGCAAAUUGACCCCGUAACUUCGGGAGAAGGGGUGCUCCAGAGAUGGAGCCGCAGAGAAUCGGCCCAAGCAACUGUUUACCAAAAACACAGGUUUGUGCUAAAUCGAAAGAUGACGUAUACGAGCUGACGCCUGCCCGGUGCUGGAAGGUUAAGAGGAGAUGUGCAAGCAUUGAAUCGAAGCCCCAGUGAACGGCGGCCGUAACUAUAACGGUCCUAAGGUAGCGAAAUUCCUUGUCAGGUAAG
rnacentral:rRNA from 1 species